rnacentral:rRNA from 1 species
UACUGGGCGUAAAGCGCGCGUAGGCGGUUGUAUAAGUUGGAUGUGAAAUCCCCGGGCUUAACCUGGGCACUGCAUUCAAAACUGUACGGCUAGAGUGUAGGAGAGGAAGGUAGAAUUCCAGGUGUAGCGGUGAAAUGCGUAGAGAUCUGGAGGAAUACCGAUGGCGAAGGCAGCCUUCUGGCCUAACACUGACGCUGAGGUGCGAAAGCAUGGGGAGCAAACAGGAUUAGAUACCCUGGUAGUCCAUGCCGUAAACGAUGUCUACUAGCCGUUGGGGGACUUGAUCCUUUAGUGGUGCAGCUAACGCAUUAAGUAGACCGCCUGGGGAGUACGGUCGCAAGACUAAAACUCAAAUGAAUUGACGGGGGCCCGCACAAGCGGUGGAGCAUGUGGUUUAAUUCGAUGCAACGCGAAGAACCUUACCUGGCCUUGACAUGUCUGGAAUCCUGUAGAGAUACGGGAGUGCCUUCGGGAAUCAGAACACAGGUGCUGCAUGGCUGUCGUCAGCUCGUGUCGUGAGAUGUUGGGUUAAGUCCCGCAACGAGCGCAACCCUUGUCCUUAGUUGCCAGCACGUAAUGGUGGGAACUCUAGGGAGACUGCCGGUGACAAACCGGAGGAAGGCGGGGACGACGUCAAGUCAUCAUGGCCCUUACGGCCAGGGCUACACACGUGCUACAAUGGUCGGUACAGAGGGUUGCUAGCCCGCGAGGGUACGCUAAUCUCACAAAGCCGAUCGUAGUCCGGAUUGGAGUCUGCAAAUUGACUCCAGUGAAGUCGGAAUCGCUAGUAAUCGCGGAUCAGAAUGCCGCG